UUUUAAAAAAUCGUUAUUUCUUUGAAAAGAGAGAGAAAGAGAAAGAUAAGAGGAGAGAGAGAGAGAGAGAGAGAGAGAGAGAGAGAACACGGUCACGAACAAAGGAUUCACUCGGUUCUUCGACAAUGGAGUAUUGUUUGAACAAUAAUUAGCUGCCUAAGAGUGCGUCUGUAUUUAGACGUAGAAUUCUAUACCUCGGGUGAGUUUGGAGUGGUCGUGUUGAUAUGAUCUGGUAAACAAAUCCUCAGAUCCCGCUCGUCUAACUCACUCUCAGUGUCGAUGCUAAAACUUCGAACGGGUUGAUGAUCACCAUGGCCGGUCCAACGUUGUUUCCAACUUUCUAACCUCAUGACCUGUGAAAAUAUAUAAUACAAAACUGUAAUGUGUACCAUUCGAUUCGUUCGAUAUCAUCGAGCGUCUUCUUCGUUUUUCCUCGUCCUAUUUCUGUCAUUCUGUCCUUCGCUUAUCAAAACAGCAACAAAAAUUUAUACUCGGGCAAACGAUUUUUCCUAAAAACGACGCUAGAUCGAUAACGACGAAAUCGUUUUUAUCGACACUGAUGAUCAUAUGAUCCUAUUUCGUAUACAUUAUAAAAAUUAUUCUUACGAUCGAGAUAUAACAUUAUUAUAUACAGUAUCCGUUUGAACUUGCUUACAUUAGCAAUGAUAUUAUUAUCAAUUUAUAAACGAUAAUGAAAUCUUUAAUAUUAUUUGACAUAUACGUCAUAUACGAAAUACGAACGUAUGAACCGAUUUUAUACGACCACCCUACAUUUUCUAAAAAUGAACGAACGAAGCCUCUUAUAUGUAAUACUUUGUUGUAUUUUUGAAUGAUCUUUAAGAUCGAUUCCUACGAUUUACGUUAGUGUUAUUCUACUGAUAACAAUGGCGACGCAAAAUAGUGCAAACGACACAUGCGGCUAUUAUUGUAUGGACGAUGCGACAUUCUUGUGCUUAUGAUUAAUUACAGCAUCGGCUAAGCGAUAUCAUAACGAAUUACGAAAGAAAUUAUUCGUGCGUAUAUGUAGCGCGAUUGAAAAGUAAAAACAUUGAAAUAAAAUGAGGAAAUAAAGUAAGAAAAAAAUAAAGAAACGAACGAAAACAUGUGAAAUAUAUGUAUGUAGGAUAGUGAUACAAACAUGCAGUAUUAUCAAAGACCCAAUACCUAUUAAUUAUUAUAAUUAUUAUUAUCAUCCGCUGGAAAAUAGGAAUAAGAAAGACGUAAUAUUUGGUUAUAAUUAAUAAUUUCAAGAUACACGUAUAUAUUUCGCGAACCGUCUUGACUAACAACCGACUUGAGAGGUAGCGUAGGAAUGCCUAUGAUUAUUUACAUUACGAAUUCUUAUAUACAAUCUUAUACAUCUAUGAAAGUCAAAACUAAAUGACACGAGAUAAACAAAUCAAGAAAAAAACAAGAAAAAAAGAUACGAUUCCUUUCGUGGAACUCUACUUAUUGUUAUCAUGGGUAAAGACUUACUCGACCCAGCGCCAAGGCUCAGUCUCCGGGCUGGUGAUUGGCGUAGGGAACUAAGGAGACAGAGAUAACACAGCAGUAGAGGGUUAGUUUUACAGAAACGAUUAGAUCCUUCUAUUAGUAUUAACGUAGUGCCUUGGUACCUUUAUACACUAAGGAUUAGCAGUGUAGUCCUUCUUGUUCUCAUUACACGCUUUACGUAAUAUCUUCCAACAUGAACAAAAGUUAUCAUAUUAUUAUUUAAUAAAUUCUAUAUAUCCUAGAAUUGUCUUCAAAGUAUUCCGACUUAAUAUUUCACUUAACUCUAUAGUAUGUGUAUUCUCUAUGCUGUGCUAACUCUCACCAACUAAUGCAACAUUUUCAAAGGGCAAUGGGUGAGACGGAUGAAUUUUUAAUGAAUGUUGUCAACGAUCAAUGUUGAACUUGGCUCUAUUAAGAACGUUAUUAGUAAUAAUAUAUUAUCUUUUACAAAACUAUACACAAAACUAUAUAAAAUAUUACAUAUAUUCUGUCUAGAAAAGCGUUAAUCUAACAAUGUUGUUACAUACUUCUGUGAAUAGAUAUGAAGAAAUAAAUGGUGUUUAAUGGUAACAAUAGCUUAAUAUAAACCAGCGCAGUGGCAAUGUAUAAAAGCAUCUUUUAUGACUUGAUGUGCCAUAAUUUGAUACUUAUAUCUGCAAAAAUGAAAUAUAUAAAGAAAAAUAAUCACUUGAGAAAUAAGUAAAAGCUGUGUGAAUAAUUUUGGCCUUAGCAAAUUCGGAAUGGGAUGAACUUUCAUUCAAAGGAAGUCAAUAUCACGAUAAACGAUAAAUGACGUAACGUACUGCGUCCUUAAUGCAUAGAGGUACCUGUUCGAUCACAUUAUUUUCACACACGAUGUCACAAAAGCUGUGUUGGUGUGAUUAUGUAUACCAACUGCAACUAAUAAUGGAUGCUACAAAUAUACUCUAUAUAUAAAUAAGUAAACUAUAUACUGAAACGAUAAAAAUGCGUUCGUUCAGUCUCGUGUACACGUGUGUGUCAAAAUGUAGUAAAGUCUCUAAUCUAAAGGAUUGUUAGAACGAGGAAUGACCUUCCACCAAAGGCUAAAACUGAGAAAACAUAUAGAUGUUAUGAAUGAAAGUUAUAAACGAUAAGAUUAAACGUAUCCAAAACCGAUCGAAUUAUUUUUCAUCUUGCCGUUAUCAUGUAUUCAAAUUUAUUAGAAAAGAAGCACAAUUUACAAUACCUUUUUGCCCCACUGACGUUUUACAAUGAAUACACACCAAUUAAUAAUUUUACAAAUUUUACUGGUCAACAUUUAAAGACAUGCACAAAAAUUUAGAAAAUAUUUUUUAUCUCUGAAGUUAUUCACAAUUGGAUUGAAAUUCAUAUAAAUAGAAAAUCUUUGAUAUGGGUAGGAUGUGCAUCAAAUUUGGAGGCAAACAUGUAAAAAAAAAUGCAUGAAAAGCAGUACCAUUGAAUAUUAGUAAGAACAUUAAAUAAGUGAUAUUUUGAUAUCUUAAUUUUCAGCUUUUAUAUAUAAACAUUUUAUCCUAUUCUCAAAGUAUUAGUGAGUUGUUAUGUGUAUGAAUCAAGUAGAGAAAUAACCAAAUUAUAAAAACUUAGUUCGUAUUACGCUAUUAGAUAAUACAUCUUUACUCUGUUCACUAUUUAAACUUAUUACGAGAAGAUAUGCGGGGGUUUUCAAUAUUUACGAACUACAAGCUUAACAUCUUCUAAUUUUUAUACGCAUAUAUGUAGACAUAACGUCUAUUUAUAUCUUGGGGUACUAAGAAACGAUUGUUAAUCUAUAGGCUCCUACAGUUACAGCUACUUCUAUAUAAUCUGUCAAAAAUUACAGGUUUUGUAUUUAAAUACAAUAAACGUAAUAAUAAUUUUUAAUUAAAAAAUAAUAAACUUUCGAAUUAAUAUCUUUAAGCUAAUAUGAAAAAUUGAUAUUCUAACUAAUCCUAAUUUUCUCUUUAAAUAGCAUUCCUUGUAGAGAUCAUAUUAGGUUUAUUGUCGUUCAUAUGCAAAAAACUUACCACCUUAUCUAGUAAUAUACGAAUAAUAAUGAUAAUGACAGAUGUGAUUAACGAAUAUUAUCCAAGUUUGUCAUGAUCAUGAUCAUAAAUGACAAAACUUCACCCCUUACUGCAACUUUUAAAAUUGCUUCUAUGUGAUGCAAUUAAUAAUAUAACUCUGUCUAGCUUAUUCUCAAUCAAUUUUCUCUACUUACCUCUGCUUUUAGUUCCGCAACUUUAUCUUGGAGUUCUCUUACUCUCUCACUGUCAUCUAA